CACGCACGUACUCAGUACUUUCCCUGACAUCACUAACGUAGGGUUCUGCGUCCUUGCACGUGCUCGGUCUUUCUGUGGUGGCGGUCCUAAUCGGUGCCUCCGACCUUCGAUGGUCUUCCACGAUCGCUCUCCUCCGCAUUGCUGGGUGGUUGAAAUCCUCCUUCCGGAGGAGAGCUUGGAGCAUGACGGCCCUUGUAGCUGAAGCCAGGCGGCCUCAUCAGCGGGCCGGGGUAGCGCUCUUCACCUCUGUCAGUACGGCGGUGGACGCACCGGCGAGGGCCGAGACCUGUGCCCCUUCGGGGGAAUCCCCCGGGGGCGUCUGGUGCAUCCCACUCGGGCAGAUAUGGCAAGAAAGCGAAAAUCUACCUGAUGGCGCUGGAAGGGCUGCACUGCCCGCGGCCGGCCUCCCUUUGCUAUUUGCUUCGUUUCUUCUUCGCUUCAGCACGCGGGGCAGACAUCAGGAAUGCAAAUGACUGAUAAAGCAAGCAUCAGCCGUUUCCAACGUUAGAAAUGUUGUUAGAAAGAAAGGCUUCAGGAAGCGGUGGCGCAUUCUCCCGUGGGCAGCGGUGAGGACAAAGGAGUGACAAGCAAGUAUACAUAAAGGUACAUUUUAUUAACGACUUACUCCUAUUGCUAGCAUCCAACAGUAAAAUGGGCAAAAGCCCAACCCGAGGCACGAGGCAGGGAAAUGGAAUCAAAGGGAAACCGGCAGAUGGUCGCUCUCUCUUCCCCUCCCCUUCCGUUCCAGGAAAGGAAACCAGGCCUUCCAGGCUUUGUUGUUUCACUCCACGAUGAGAGGGGUUGUGUAGAGGGAAUGCCGGAUUCCAAACGUGGAUGCAGGCGCCUGGGGCUUGAUCAGCGUCACCUGGAAGGGCGAAAAGGAAAGGCAGUCUGCGUUAAGCAAAGUUGCAGCAGGCUUGGAAGCCCCUGUGGCACAGGGGGAGCAGCCCAGGUUCGGAUGCUAACGCGGAAAAGAGGAGCGGCAGAGCUCACCUUGGCAAGGUCUUCGUCAAACCGACCUCGCU